AUUGAACGCUGGCGGCAUGCUUUACACAUGCAAGUCGAACGGCAGCACGGGAGCUUGCUCCUGGUGGCGAGUGGCGAACGGGUGAGUAAUGCAUCGGAACGUACCCAGUAGUGGGGGAUAGCCCGGCGAAAGCCGGAUUAAUACCGCAUAUUUCCUGAGGGAGAAAGCGGGGGACCUUCGGGCCUCGCGCUACUGGAGCGGCUGAUGUCGGAUUAGCUAGUUGGUGAGGUAAAGGCUCACCAAGGCGACGAUCCGUAGCUGGUCUGAGAGGAUGAUCAGCCGCACUGGGACUGAGACACGGCCCAGACUCCUACGGGAGGCAGCAGUGAGGAAUAUUGGUCAAUGGACGCAAGUCUGAACCAGCCAUGCCGCGUGCAGGAAGACGGUCCUAUGGAUUGUAAACUGCUUUUAUACAGGAAGAAACAACUCUACGUGUAGAGUCUUGACGGUACUGUAGGAAUAAGGAUCGGCUAACUCCGUGCCAG
rnacentral:rRNA from 1 species